rnacentral:rRNA from 1 species
UACGUAGGGUGCGAGCGUUGUCCGGAAUUAUUGGGCGUAAAGAGCUCGUAGGCGGUGUGUCACGUCGGCCGUGAAAACCUGGGGCUUAACUCUGGGCGUGCGGUCGAUACGGGCAUCACUAGAGUUCGGCAGGGGAGACUGGAAUUCCUGGUGUAGCGGUGAAAUGCGCAGAUAUCAGGAGGAGCACCGGUGGCGAAGGCGGGUCUCUGGGCCGAUACUGACGCUGAGGAGCGAAAGCAUGGGUAGCGAACAGG